rnacentral:rRNA from 1 species
GCGAACGGGUGAGUAACACGUGGGUGAUCUGCCCCUGACUUCGGGAUAAGCCUGGGAAACUGGGUCUAAUACCGGAUAUGACCUGACAUCGCAUGGUGUUGGGUGGAAAGCUUUUGCGGUUGGGGAUGGGCCCGCGGCCUAUCAGCUUGUUGGUGGGGUAAUGGCCUACCAAGGCGACGACGGGUAGCCGACCUGAGAGGGUGAUCGGCCACACUGGGACUGAGACACGGCCCAGACUCCUACGGGAGGCAGCAGUGGGGAAUAUUGCACAAUGGGCGCAAGCCUGAUGCAGCGACGCCGCGUGAGGGAUGACGGCCUUCGGGUUGUAAACCUCUUUCGCCAGGGACGAAGCGCAAGUGACGGUACCUGGAGAAGAAGCACCGGCCAACUACGUGCCAGCAGCCGCGGUAAUACGUAGGGUGCAAGCGUUGUCCGGAAUUACUGGGCGUAAAGAGCUCGUAGGCGGUUUGUCGCGUCGUCUGUGAAAUUCUGCAACUCAAUUGCAGGCGUGCAGGCGAUACGGGCAGACUUGAGUACUACAGGGGAGACUGGAAUUCCUGGUGUAGCGGUGAAAUGCGCAGAUAUCAGGAGGAACACCGGUGGCGAAGGCGGGUCUCUGGGUAGUAACUGACGCUGAGGAGCGAAAGCGUGGGUAGCGAACAGGAUUAGAUACCCUGGUAGUCCACGCCGUAAACGGUGGGUACUAGGUGUGGGGCUCAUU